rnacentral:tRNA from 1 species
GCCAGCAUCCCAUAACUUGGUAUUGGGCCUGACUCGAAAUCAGGUGUCCGCAAGGACUUGCAGGUUCAAAUCCUGCUGCUGGCG